UACGGGGGGGGCAAGCGUUGUUCGGAAUUACUGGGCGUAAAGGGCUGGUAGGCGGCCAACUAAGUCGGAUGUGAAAUCCCCAGGCCUUAACCUGGGAACUGCAUCCGAUACUGGUCGGCUUGAAUCCGGGAGAGGGAUGCAGAAUUCCAGGUGUAGCGGUGAAAUGCGUAGAUAUCUGGAGGAAUACCUGUGGCGAAAGCGGCUCACUGGACCAUAACUGACGCUGAGGCGGCGAAAGCUGGGGGAGCAAACGGG
rnacentral:rRNA from 1 species